GUGAGGAAUAUUGGUCAAUGGGCGCAAGCCUGAACCAGCCAAGUAGCGUGCAGGACGACGGCCCUAUGGGUUGUAAACUGCUUUUAUACGGGGAUAAAGUGCGCCACGUGUGGAGCAUUGCAGGUACCGUAUGAAUAAGGACCGGCUAAUUCCGUGCCAGCAGCCGCGGUAAUACGGAAGGUCCGGGCGUUAUCCGGAUUUAUUGGGUUUAAAGGGAGCGCAGGCCGGAAGCAAAGCGUGCCGUGAAAUGUAGAUGCUCAACAUCUGAAUUGCGGCGCGAACUGGUUUUCUUGAGUGCAUACGAGGUAGGCGGAAUUUGUGGUGUAGCGGUGAAAUGCUUAGAUAUCACGAAGAACUCCGAUUGCGAAGGCAGCCUACCAGGAUGUAACUGACGCUAAAGCUCGAAAGUGCGGGUAUCGAACAGGAUUAGAAACCCGGGUAGUCC
rnacentral:rRNA from 1 species